GCCACCCAAGACAUUCCUUCUCUUUGUCAUGCCAUGAACAAGAAUUUCUUAGCACCCUUUAAAGAUCUUCUUUUACAACUCAAAAAUACAGUAUCGGAGAACAACCCUCCGAUUACCUGCAUUGUUUCUGAUCCUUUUGCUCCAUUCUCCAUCAAAGCUGGGGAAGAAGUUGGUCUUCCAGUUGUGAUGUAUGCCACUACGAAUGCAUGUGGCUAUAUGGGAUGUAAACAGCUCUAUGCUCUCAGAGAGAAAGGCUUCACCCCCAUCAAAGGUAUAUUCACAUACUUGUUUAAUUACAAGUGAACUUCCAAGAAAAGUGGCUUUAUUACUAUUAUACAACUUCAUUAGUAUUUUACAGCUUUAUUCUUUUCUAAAUUUUCAAACAAAUGGUUGAGAUUAUCCUAGAAAUCAAAUGGUUGAGAUCCUUCUACAAAUAAUUUCAAAAAUUAUAGGGUAUGAGAGAUUUCAGAUCAUUUUUUAUUCUAUUAUUCUAGCUAGUACUCGGUAAUUAUAGGUAAAAUUCUUAUGAUGGUGGAGAGUAUCCUCAUUUUUAACAAGGUGAAACUGGAUUGAGUUUCCGGUUUCUCAUUAAUCUUGCAUAUUGCAUAGAUUAUUUGUUUGGCUAAAGUGUAAUGAAUACAAUUUCAGCUAUAAUGAUAAUGAUAGUAUUUGGAUGUGAAAAAAAUAUGAAUCACUAACUUGAUUGCUUUUUUCUUUUAUAUUUCUUUUUGUUCUCUCUUUAUCUCAUUUACGGCGCAUUCAUUUUAUUUUACUCAACAUUUUAGAAAUUAUCUUUUAAAUGAUUUCUUUUUUAUUAAUACACUUUAUUAUUAUUGAAAAAAUAUUAGAAUUUAAUUAAUUUGGUAUGCCCGCGUUCCGACAAAAAUUUCCAAGCUUAAAUCACACAGGCAAGAUCAAUGAUUAUGUGCAAAAGAAUUUCAUUUUGAGCUUGGUCUAAUAAGAUUGUGUUUUGCAGAUUUGAGCAAUCUAAGCAACGGCUAUCUUGAGACAAAAGUAGACUGGGCUCCUGGUAUGAAAGACGUUCGUCUUAAAGAUUUUCCAUUUAUUCAAACAACAGAUCCAGAUGAAGUUGUAUUUAACUUUGUCAUUGGGGUUGCUGAAACUUCUGUUAAAGCUCGUGCAAUUGCUUUUCAUACUUUUGACGCCUUGGAACCAGAAGUUUUAGAUGGCCUUUCCACUAUUUUCCCUCGAGUUUAUUCCAUCGGUCCACUCCAGUUACUCCUAAAUCAAUUCGAAGAAAAUGGUUUGAAGUCUAUUGGUUACAGUCUGUGGAAAGAAGACCAUGAGUGUCUCCAAUGGCUGGAAACAAAGGAACCCAAAUCAGUGGUGUACGUGAAUUUUGGAAGCAUAACAGUGAUGACAGCUGAUCAACUGGUGGAGUUUGCAAUGGGAUUAGUUAAUAGUAAUAUCCCAUUCUUGUGGAUUAUAAGGCCAGAUUUGGUCGUCGGUGAAUCAGCUGUUUUACCAGCUGAAUUUGAAGAGGAAACUGAAAAGCGAGGCUUUAUUACAAGUUGGUGUCCACAAGAGGAAGUGCUUAACCAUCCAGCAGUUGGAGGGUUUCUAACUCAUAGUGGCUGGGGUUCAACCAUUGAGAGCUUGUGUGCUGGUGUUCCAUUGGCGUGUUGGCCCUUCUUCGCUGAUCAAGCAAUGAACUGUAGAUAUAGCUGCAAUGAAUGGGGAGUUGGAAUGGAGAUUGAUAAUAACGUCAAGAGGGAAGAAGUGGAGAUGCUGGUGAAGGAGCUCAUGGAAGGGGAAAAGGGUGAGAAAAUGAGGGGAAAGGCUAUGGAGUGGAAAAGGUUGGCUGAAGAAGCUGUUGGGCCAGAGGGUACAUCAUCCAUUAAUUUGGACAAGUUCAUCCAUGAAAUAAUCUCUUCAAACAAUUAGAUCGUCGACACGCUAGAAUAAAAAAAAAAUCAUAAAAGAUCAAAUUUCGUUCGUCUGUGAAAAGAUCAAAUUUCCUUCCAGUUGCCUUUUUUUGGAAUUUAAAUAUCAUAAUAAAUAAAUGCUCCAUUUUCGAAUAUGGUAUGAUAUCUUGGAAACCUGUUGAUACUUCUAUCUCUACAUCCAAAGCUAUCAUAUCGUCAGAUCUUUUGUUUUUUAAUGCUUCACGUUUUCGUCAAAUUAUGGGUGUUCUUCAAUAUCUCAGUUUUGCGAGACCAGAUAUUUGCUUUGUUGUUAACAGAGUCUAUCAGUUUAUGCAUGCUCCUACAGACUCUCAUUGGGCUGCUGUUAAACGCAUUUUGCGUUAUCUUAACGGUACGACAACACAUGGCCUACAUAUUACUCAUAGUUCUUUCUUUCCAUUACAUGGCUUUACAAAUGCAGAUUCUGCAGGUAGUAUUGAUGAUAAAAAAAUCUACGAGUGGUUAUCUUGUGUCCUUUGGUUAUCUUAAGCAACGUACAAUUGCUCGCUCCUCUAUCGAAGCUGAGUACAAAUCCUUAGCAGAUGGUAUUGCUGAGGUUAUCUGGCUUGACUAUUUAUUAACAGAUCUUCAGAUUCUGUCUGUUUCAGCUCCUAUAAUUUGGUGUUAUAAUCUUGGUGCCACUUAUUUAUCUGCGAAUCAUGUUUUUCAUUCUUACACAAAACAUGUUGAGGUUGAUUAUCAUUUUGUUCGAGAUUGAGUUGCGAAGAGGGAGAUUCAGAUUCGUUUCAUUUUCUCUCGGGAUCAACUUGCAUAUGUCUUUACUAAGCCACUUCCUACUGCUUCGUUUACUGCUUUUCGUUUCAAGCUUCGGGUCGAUCGUCUACCCUAAGCUUGAGAGGGCAUAUUAUAGAAUGUAUACUAUAUAUGAAAUAUUAUGGGCACUACUAUAGUAUUAAUUGUAUUCUCUACAUUAACUAUUAUAUAUUGCCCUACACAUAUAAAUAGAAAAGGAUUGGUUAAAUCAAAAGUUAAGCCUCCUAAUUAUUCUCAACUAUUACCAGUGAGUCAACGAUUUUGCCGGCUGAGUUUCAAGUGGAAACUUAGAACCGUGGUUUCGUAACUAGUUGGUGUCCACAAGAGGAAGUUCUGAACCACCCAUCAGUUGGUGUCAAAGAACCAUCUCAACCCAAUAGCUUAAACUGUUAGGUAAGGUCCCAAGAUAUGAUUUAUAUUAUUCUCUAACACACCCCCUCAAGUGAAAGCCCUUUGAAAUUGAAACUUGCACAAGCCUAUAUUAUCUUGUGCUUAAUUUUUAUCAAAUAACUGGGGAUGGUGAGAUUCGAACUCGUGACCGCUUGGUCAUUAAGGUUUUGAUACCAUGUCAAAGAACCAUCUCAACCCAAUAGCUUAAGCUGUUAGGUGAAGUUUCAGGAUAUGAUUUAUAUUAUUAUCUAACAGUUGGGGGAGAUUUCUAACUCAUACCGGUUGGAAUUCGAUUAUUGAAAGCUUGUGUGCUGGAGUGCCAGUGAUAUGUUGGCCUUUAUUUGCUGAUCAACCAAUAAAUUGUAGCUGUGCUUGCAUUGAAUGGGGAGUUGGCAUGGAGAUUGAUAACAAUGUCAAGAGAGAAGAAGUGGAGAAGCUUAUCAGGAACUUGAUGGGAGGAGAAAGUGUAAGAAAAUGAGGGAAAAGGCCAAACACUGGAGGAAGGUGGCGGAAGAGGCUACUGUCCCUAGCUAAUGGUUCAUCAUCCAUUAAUUUAGACAGUUUCAUCAAUGAAAUGUUACAAUCAAACAUCACUCUGUAACCUAUGAUCAUUCAAAAGAGAAAAUACUUUUGUGAUGGGAUUUUAUUGCUUGCCAAUUGAAGAUAGCUAGUGUUUGCACUAAUGGUGUUUGUCUCGAUAGUCCAUAUGCAUGGUUGUCUGGAACGUCCCAAGAACCUAGCACGCAACUGAACAGCUUCUAGGUCUACAAAUUAAGACAUAUCCAGUCCAAUGAGCUCGGGCGUAGAAAUUUGUCCAUUGAACAGUCCCUGUUAAAGAUCAAUCCAGAAAUUAAUUUAGCUAAUGGUGUUUUUUUUUCUGGGCCCAGCUCAGCCCACGUGGGCUGGGCUAGACCCAACCAUCCUGGCCCGGUUACUGGCCUAAGCCAGUGAUCCGGCUGGCUGAAGCACGCAUGCGUGAACUAUUCACGCAUGCUGUGCACAGUGGGAAGGUAAUUAAAAUUACCUUAUCCCUGUACUUAUACAACUAUAAAUGAAAGGGAGCGGGAAGCUUACCUGGAAGCAGGAACGAAGACGAUGACGAAGGCGUGGUGGCUGGCUGUUCCUCCUGUUCGUUCGUCUCCUCUCUGCUUCUGGUUUUUUCUUAGAGACGAAGGAACGAAGAUGAUGAUGAUGCCGGUUCUCUCUGGUGGUCUUGAUUCUGGGUCCUUCUUUUUCUGCUGUUAUUUUGGGUUUCUUCCUCUGCUUAUGACGGUUCGGAGUGGUGCCAGGCUGAUCAAUGUUUACAGUUUCUCUGUUUUCCCUUGUUCACUUUGCUUGCGUCCUGGGGACGAAGACAACGCUGGCUUUUGCUCUCUCCUCCUUUUUCUUUUUAGUUUGUCUCUCCCUGUUUCCAGUGUUCUUCCCCUGUCUUUUUUUUUUUGUUUCGGUUCGUGCUCUCCCUCUCCUUCUCUAGUCCAGUAUGUCUAUCUCCGUGCGUCCUCUGUUUUUUUUCUGCCCUCUCAGUUUAGUUCCCCCUCUGUUCGUCUGUAUUUUCUCUCUUUGUCCCCUGUAUUUUUUUUCUGUUUCGGUUCGUGAUCUGCCCCCUGCUUCCCCCGCUGUGAGGCCUUUCUCUGGCUUUUAUAAAGCCAGAGAAGGUCGUGUGUUCAUGCCUCAACAAAUGAGGCACGUUCCGUGAGGGAUCGUGGUUCAUGAUCUGCUGGCAGUGUUUCCUGUUGAUCCGGUCUUCCGGAUGAGGAGAUGAUGAACAGUGGUUCAAAACGGCGCCGUUUAUAUCUGGUGUUUUCAACUUAGCCCCUGAACUUCUAACAUUAACAAUUGGGUUCCUGAUUUCAUUAAUUAAACUAAUUCCAAGUUCACUUAAGUCCCCAAACUUAUCAAUUCUUCAAUUAAGCUCUUAAUGUGAUUAAUGAAACUACUCCCAAGUUUAAUUAAGUCCUUAAACUUUCAAUUAUGUUGCCUUAGCUCAAAUUUUAAUUUAUCCUUCAUUCAUUUUAUUUUUUUUUCACAUAUAUUUUUUUGUUUUAAUAAAAAUAAGAUAAAAUAAAAAUAGUUAAAAUUUAAGUUAUAACAUUAAUAAUUAAUUUUAAAAAGAACUUAUAUGUUUAUUUAAUAGUCCUGAACAAUAAAAAUUUCUAGCUACGCCUUUGCUCGGCUCCAUGCAUUAAAUGUGACAAUGCAUUGGGGAUGGCUCCACUCUUCCUCAUGACAUGUUGUCAAUUUAAGCAGAUUUUUACUCACGGCACUAGCCAUGUGUCUAUCGUGACAGUAAGGGCCGGUGGUUCAAGGAGGGAGGGAGAGAGAGAGGGUGGUGUUUUGGUGCAGGUUUCCACAUUUAUGUGGAUUUAAUCUCGUUAUUCCAAAACAAUUUAUCCAACUGUUAGUAAGAAGAAAAGGAUGAAUGAUACUAUAUAUAAUUGAACUUAAUUACAAGGCUCCAAUUAUUUGUAUAAUUGAAUUUUUUUAGAUUAAAUUAAUUCAAUUCAUUAUGUUCAUUGCUAUAAAUAAAGUUUUCUAGUUGCGUUAUGGAUAUAUAUUUUAAUAAUAAUUUUCAAUGAAAAAAUAACUGGCCAUUCAUUAAUACGACUAGAAAAAGGGCCAAUGAUAGAUGCUGCCAGACAAUUUUGCUGAUAAGAUUUUAUAUAUUAUAGUGAUAAUUAAUUUGUGAAAUCCUUGUAUUUUGGAGGUAAUUGUGAGCUGUGAUUCAUCUAUUUGGAAGUAUGGAUAUUGUUGUUUUUUAAAAUAUUUUUUGUUUGAAAAUACAUCAAAAUAAUAUAUUUUUUUAUUUUUUAAAAAUUAUUUUUAAUAUUAGCAUAUCAAAAUAUUUGAAAACACCAAAAAAUAUUAAUUUAAAACAAAAAAAAUAAAAAAAUUUUAAUUUUUUCAAAAACACUUUUAAAAUAUUAAAAUAAUAAAUUGCUAUUGAUUACAUGGUGGUCCCGUAGAGAAAAAAACAGGUAUAAAAAAAACAAAAAGAGAUAUGGAUUAUUAAAAAUAAUAAAAAUAUAUAUAUAUUUAAAAUAUUCUUGUUGUUAUUCUCGUCCCUGUAAAAUUUCUCGUUGUUAUCACUAGAGUACAACUACAAUGACCUGGCAAAACAUGCCAUUAAUAAAAUAGAAAUAAAAAUAAAAAAUCCAAGGAAGACACAGAUUUGGAAAUAGAAAAUCAAGCAUAUCUGGCUAUAAAUCACAGGAAAAGACUCAUUGAGACUGAACAGAGAGAAGCAAGCUAGCUAGCUAGUAAGAGAGAUAUGGGAUCCAUUUCCAAGCCUCAUGUUGUUGUGAUCCCAUGUCCACUCCAAGGUCAUAUAAAGACUAUGCUUAAACUUGCGAAGCUUCUUCACUACAAAGGUCUUCACAUCACGUUUGUCAGCACAGAAUUCAAUCACAAACGUUUCCUUUGGUCAAGAGGACGUCAUGCCCUUGAUGACUUGCCUGGCUUCCAUUUUAGAACCAUUCCCGAUGGUCUCCCUCCUUCAGAUAUUGAUGCCACCCAAGACAUUCCUUCUCUUUGUGAUGCCAUGAACAAGAAUUUCUUAGCACCCUUUAAAGAUCUUCUUUUGGAACUCAGAAAUACCGUUUCGGAGAACAACCCUCCGGUUACCUGCAUUGUUUCUGAUCCCUUCGCUCCAAUCUCCAUCAAAGCUGGGGAAGAAGUUGGUCUUCCAGUUGUGAUGUAUGCCACUAUGAAUGCAUGUGGCUAUAUGGGAUUUAAACAGCUCCAUGCUCUCAGAGAGAGAGGCUUCACCCCAAUCAAAGGUAAUAAUUCACAUGCUUGUUUAUUAUUUAAGUUAUCAUCAAUAACAAGUGAACUUCCAAGCAAAGUGGCUUUAUUACACCAUUAUACAACUUCUUUAGUAUUUUGCAGCUAAUUUAUUCUUUUCUAAAUUUUCAAACAUCCAGAUUCUCCCUUGCAAGUUGAUGGAGAAAUGAUUAUAAAACAUUAUCACGACAACAAUUUAUUUUAUUUAUAAUAUAUUAUAUUAUAUUAUGUUAUAUAUACUGUACGUUCGACGGCAUAAUUCAAAUAGCAUGCCAUAGAACCAUGUAAAUUUUAUAUAAUAUCCUUUUCCAAAUCACUUCUCUAAAAAUCUGGCAAUUAUUAAAUCAGAUUAUCCUAGAAAUCAUAAAAAUUUUAUGAUGGUGGGAGUAUCCGGCGCAUUCCUCCUCCUCUUAGAUUUUUAUUUAUUUAUUAGUAGUCUUUUUUAGCGGAAGAUAUAUUUCGGAUUCAGGCUUGGAAUCUCAUUUUUUUCAUUCUCACAUGGAAUAUUUGGCUCAUAAAAAUAAUUUGAUUUAUAACAAGGUGCAGCCGGAUUGCGAUACCAAUUUCUCUUUGAUUUUGCAUAGAUUAUCAAUUUGACUAAAGUAUAAUGAAUUCAAUUUUAGUUAUACAUCUUAUUCGUAGUGUAAAUGAUAUUUAAAUGUGGAUAAACACAAAUCACUAAUUUAAUUAUUAUUUCCUUUUAUUUUUUUUUAAUUUUUUUUAAUUUUUUUUUACAUCGUAUUCAUUUUAUUUUAUUGUAAAUGAUGUUUUAACCUUUUAGAAAUUAUCUUUUAAAUAAUUUUUUUUAUUAAUACUCUCUAUUAUUAUUAAAAACAAUAUUACAAUUUAAUUAAUUUGAUAUGUCCGCGUUCCGACAAAAAUUACCAAGCCUAAAUCACACGGGCAAGAUCAAUGAUUAUGUGCAAUAAAUUUUCAUUUUGAGCUUGGUCUAAUAAGAUUGUGUUUUGCAGAUUUGAGCAAUCUAAGCAACGGCUAUCUUGAGACAAAAGUAGACUGGGCUCCUGGUAUGAAAGACGUUCGUCUUAAGGACUUUCCAUUUAUUCAAACAACAGAUCCAGAUGAAGUUGUAUUUAACUUUGUCAUUGGAGCUGCUGAAACUUCUGUUAAAGCUCGUGCAAUUGCUUUUCAUACUUUUGACGCCUUGGAACCAGAAGUUUUAGAUGGCCUUUCCACUAUUUUCCCUCGAGUUUAUUCCAUCGGUCCACUCCAGUUACUCCUAAAUCAAUUCGAAGAAAAUGGCUUGAAGUCUAUUGGUUACAGUCUGUGGAAAGAAGACCAUGAGUGUCUCCAAUGGCUGGAAACAAAGGAACCCAAAUCAGUGGUGUACGUGAAUUUUGGGAGCAUAACAGUGAUGACAGCUGAUCAACUUGUGGAGUUUGCAAUGGGAUUAGUUAAUAGUAAUAUCCCAUUCUUGUGGAUUAUAAGGCCAGAUUUGGUCGUCGCUGAAUCAGCUGUUUUACCAGCUGAAUUUGCAGAGGAAACUGAAAAGCGUGGCUUUAUUACAAGUUGGUGUCCACAAGAGGAAGUGCUUAACCAUCCAGCAGUUGGAGGGUUUCUAACUCAUAGUGGCUGGGGUUCAACCAUUGAGAGCUUGUGUGCUGGCCUUCCAUUGGCGUGUUGGCCCUUCUUCGCUGAUCAAGCAAUGAACUGUAGAUAUAGCUGCAAUGAAUGGGGAGUUGGAAUGGAGAUUGAUAAUAACGUCAAGAGGGAAGAAGUGGAGAUGCUGGUGAAGGAGCUAAUGGAAGGGGAAAAGGGUGAGAAAAUGAGGGGAAAGGCUAUGGAGUGGAAAAGGUUGGCUGAAGAAGCUGUUGGGCCAGAGGGUACAUCAUCCAUUAAUUUGGACAAGUUCAUCCAUGAAAUAAUCUCUUCAAACAAUUAGAUCGUCGACACGCUAGAAUAAAAAAAAAAAUCAUGAAAAGAUCAAAUUUCGGUGGUCUGUGAACAAAAAAAAGAUAACGUGGCCCUUCCCUAUCUGUUGCCUUUUAUUGGAAUUUAAAUAUCAUAAUAAAUGCUCCAUUUCUCGAACAUGCAUGGUGUAGGCCCACUUUUGGCAUUCUAUAUUUCAAAGUAGGAUUGUGAUUUAGAUCAUUCGUAAUGUAAAAUUUAUAUAUAAAUAAAUUUGUUUUAAUUUUUUUUAUAUAAAAUAUUAAAACUUUAAAUAUAUAUUUUUUUAUUUUUUUCAGGUUGACCUGAGUUAACCUGUGUAACCCUGGACCCGGUUCCUUGACCGGGUCAAUCCUCGAGCCAGGUUUGAUAACUAUAGUUGCCAUGAAAAUAUAACUUUAAAAAAUGCAAUUGAAAAGAAAUAAAAUAAUGUGACCGGUUAAAAAAAUAAAAACUAAAAAAUAGACAAAACCUCCUCUUUUAUUUUGUAUAGAGGGUCUCUUUUAAAUAAUAUUAAUUUGUUUGUUAUGUGUUUAAUUUUCGAAGUGGUUUUUCUAGUUCAUCUAUGAUUUUGUUUUUAUCUUUUAUAUAGAUAAACUAUCUUUUUAAAAAUAAAAAUAUUUAUUUUUAGAUAAUAUUUUUAAUAUGUGUAGCCUUACAUGUUAUUGCGCCAUGCACUGAAGACAAAAAUAUUAUUGGCUUAAUUCUCUCACAUAUAUUUUUUAACAGAAAGAUGCAUAAAUGACACACACACACACACAUAUUGGAUUAACAUGUUUAUACAUAUUUUUUGUCUAAAAUUCAUGUUCAAAAAAAGACCGAAGAUAGGAUGAUAAUCCAAUAUUUUUUUGGCUCAGUUAUGCGUUGAGUCUAAAUAUAUAUGGGUCUAGCAAUCCACCAGACCCAAAAUCUCUGGGUUUAGUUAUGCACUGAGUCCACGUACAUGCGAGUCUAAAAAAUUAUCAGACUCAACAUCUCGUCGAGCCCAAAUAGAUGUAAAAUCAAUUAUCUUUCUAGGCCUCUUAUUGAGUCAUAAGACUCCGUUUAUUUUUAUCAUGACCUUUAACAUAAAAAGUUAAGGUCAAAGAUACUUAUCUCUUUAUAUCCCUAGAUGUAUAAAAGUUUUCAGAAGGACCUGAUAUUUAUCCCUCAAUAAUGAUGUGUAAGGGAUAUUUAUCAAUCUUUAAUGCUAUCAAGGCAAAGAUGACAUUUCAGCCCCUCUAAAAAAAAUAACAAGGUUUACGAGCUAUAAAAAUACUAUGAAUUCUUCAAGGAAAAAGAUUAUCAAUCUUCAUUCUCUACUACAUAUUUAUUUUAUAGUCUCUCUAUAAAAUAUCAUGGCUUUUUUUUCUCAAAAAAAUUCUUAAGCAUUAGAGAGUUCUCAAAUUCACCGAAGAGAACAUUUUACAGGUACAAGCCAUCGAUCACCUCGGCUUACCAAACAGCAGACAUCAACCACCUUAGUUAGAAAAAAUGGAUCAAAUUAUCAAAACCAAAAGAUUAACCAAUUAUUUGGAUUUUUCAAGACCUCAUCAUUAUUUAAUUGAUAAAAUUAAAAAAAGUUCAGCGUAUAAAAAUAAAAUAUGCAAAGGAUUAAAUUAACACCCAUCCCCCUACAAUAUAUUGUAUUGAUAUAUUUUGAGGUUAGAUGGCAAUUUAAUUUGAUGAAGGACGUGCAUAUUCCCUCUAUAAUUGAGAUUGUUAUUACCUAUUUUUAAAGAGAAAAUACAAAAUAUAUAUAUAUAUAUAUAUAUAUAUAUAUAUAUAUAUAUAUAUAUAUAUAUUUGGAAGAAAUUCAAAAUAUAAUAGCAGUGAAAAGUGCCAGAACGCUCAGAAAAUGGCUAAAAAUUGGUUGAGGAUGUAUAACAAUACAAAGAUUAAAAUUUGACAAUAUAUCGUUGACUGAUAAGAGCCCUGUUGACAAAGAAAAAUUCAAUUUGAGGAAGAAAUAUCCAAAAUCAAAUGUUUAUAGACUCAAUUAAAUUUUAUUGAAGAUUUAAUUGAAUUUAUGAAGGGUUUAAUUGUAAGAAAAAUUGAUUUUCCAGUAAAUUUGAGCUUUAAUUGGAAGACAUUAAAGUUCUAGGGUCAAAUUAUAAUUUUUUAGAGUUGAUUUGUUAAAUCAGGAGUUUCAUUGCAUAAAUAUUGAAGUUUGAUGGCCAUUUAGGGACUUCAUCCCCCCGCCAGGUCAGCUUCCUUCUUCUUCUGCUUCACUUCAUCCCCCCAUCAGCUCCACUAUUAUGCUAAUGAACAGUGGAGAGCGACUGUUUACUGGGCCGGACAGGUGCCGACCCACACCAAAAUGCAUUGGGCCACGCCCAACCCAACCUAAAAAAUUUCAAAAAAAAAAACCAAAAAAAUCUUUUUAAAAAUUUGUGAUUUUUCUGCCUAUUUUUCUAUCAAUUUUGCUUAAUAUUGCUUUGUAUUGUUAUAUUGUAAAGAUAUAAAUCUGGUAUUUAAAAACCCAAUUUUCUUUGAAAUGUUGAAAAAUUAUAAAACAAAAAAAAUAUCUUGCUUUCUUGCAUACGGCCAAGUCUCUUAAAUAAAAAAUCAUGUUGUAUUUUUAUAAAACAAAGAAAAUUUUAAAAAAUAUAUCUUAGUAUACAUUUUCAGUUUUAAUAACAAGUUUAUUAAAGCCAUGAUAACUAGGCCAAUAUUUUAAAAAUAUAUAUUUUGUUUCUUUUUAGUAUAUGAGAUUAUGAAUAUAUACGUAAAAUAUACUCCCGGUACUAAAAAGGUAAUUUUUUUAUUGACAUUAGAACGGUUAAGUUUUACUCUACGAGAUAAAAAUCUCCUCACCGAGAAGAAUUUUUCUCGAACCAUAGACAAAUCAACAAAUAGAAAACACGACAAUACCUUAGUUUUUUAUCAGACAAUUAAACAAUACAGCUUAUCCGAGAUAGGGCGUAUUUGGGGUGCUAAUACCUUUCUUUUUACGCAACUAGUUUUCGUACCUUAUCUCUAAGAUUAAUUAGGGUUUCUAAUAAUUAAAAUAUUAGAUGGCUACUCCUAUUGUCUCCUCAUAUUUGUCAAGUGGAUGAUACAUGACAAAGAUUCCUUGAUGUUUCUAGCUAUCCAUCUCUAACUUUCCCCAUCACUAAUAAUGAGAACAAGUUGUCGCUCAACUCUUUCAGCUACAAAUUCACACACUUCUGUCCAUUGCUUCCCCAUAGCAUUAACUCGCUAGUUUGUUUUUAAUCCCGACUUAAUUUUUUAAAAUAAAAUAUUACUUUAUAUCUAAACAAUCUCUAAACUCUUUAUACUACUAAUAAUAAUAAUAAUAGAGGCUGGAGAGACUAUAACGACAACCCAUAUAUAUGUCAUCAGGUAAUUUUGCUAGGAAGAUUUAAUAUAAUAUAAUAAUAAUUAAUUAAUUAAUUAAAUCCCUGCAUCUUGGAGGUACUUGUAAUUAGUGAUUUAAUAACAAUCUCAAAACUUUUCAUUAAAGUUUUUGUAAGAUCAUGAGGCCUUUUUAUUGAUUUAGAUUGCCUUUAUUAGUUAUAAUCAAGAAAAUUCUUGUUUGAACAAAACUAUGAUUGUCUGAUGAUUCUAUCCAAUGAUUGUUCAACAUGAUCUAACUUUAACGCGCUGUGUUCUUACAGAUGAAAGUUAUCUAACAAGUGGUUAUCUUGAAAGUACAAUUAUAGAAGGAAUCCCUGGUAUGAAACCGCUCCAACUUAAAGAUUUUCCGUAUACUCGAACAAUAGAUCCAGAUGACUUUGCAUUCAACUUUGUAAUGCGAGCUAACUUUAACGCGCUGUGUUCUUACAGAUGAAAGUUAUCUAACAAGUGGUUAUCUUGAAAGUACAAUUAUAGAAGGAAUCCCUGGUAUGAAACCGCUCCAACUUAAAGAUUUUCUGUAUACUCGAACAAUAGAUCCAGAUGACUUUGCAUUCAACUUUGUAAUGCGAGCUGCUGAGACUUCUGUUAAGGCUCAUGCAAUUGCUAUUCAUACUUUUGAUGCAAUGGAGCAAGAUGUUUUGGAUGGCCUUUCCACUAUAUUUCCUCGCGUGUAUUCCAUCGGUCCACUCCAGUAGUUAUUUGGUUUUGUUAAAAUAAUUGAGAUCAAAUACAAAAAGGAGGUUACAAUUCUGAAUCAUCAGUUUAUUAUGAAUGCAUAGUCUUAACCUAAAUACAAAUAAAGUAUAUAUAGGUUAAACUGAAAGUACUAUUCUACCCUUAAUAAAUAAGACUACAUAAAUAUUAUUUAACAGGUUUGUUUUUAAAAUGGAAAAAUCAUCUUUUUAUUAUGAACUGCUACAGUAGUUUCCCUCUCCUUUUAGAAUUUUUUUUCUAAUAAUUAUAAUUAUAACAAGACUAGCAGUUUUAUUCUCAUGUUUUUUCUGAUUUAACAUUAAAGUAUAUAGUAUAUUUACCAUGUUAAAUCAUGUUUGUUCUCUAUGUAAUAGUCAUUGAUCAUUUGAAUAAAAUUUGAAACUCUUUUGAAAUUUCAUUUCUUCUUGGCCAAGAAUAUCUCAGUCAAUACAAUUUGAGAUCAGAUAGAGCAUUUUUUCUAAUUCACCUACGGUGAUGAAUUUUUUAUUGAUCACUCAAGUAUCUUCAUAUGGUUCAUGUUAUUCCUAAUGUUUGCCUCUUCGUUACCUCAAUUAAGAUAACAUGUAAUAAGUUCAAAACAUAACAUUCUCUUUAUAAGAUAACUUAGUAAUCUUAAAUCUAAGAAUUACUUACACAACCAUUACUUGAGAUAUAUGUAUGUGGAAUUUUCAUGCGGGUCAAUUUAGUGUACAUGUCUUAUGACAAGCACCUACAUAUUAAUUAGUUCUAGGUAUCUCUUAUACCUCAGCUUAUGAAAACAUUAACUUCCUUUCAUAAAAGAAAGAACAUAAUAUGUAUCAAUUUCUACUGCUCUAAUAAAUAUCCAGUAUUUAAGAGAACAUCGAUAAUUAAGGAAUAUUUUAGAAAUAAUUCUUUGAUGCAAUAGGAAUUCUAUAAUUAUAAUAACUUUAUAAUUUUUUUUAUAAAGCAUUUUUGUCUCAUGGACUCUAUCUUUACUCUAAAUUUAUAAAUCAAAUAUCAGAUUUAUUAAUAUUAUAUUAUAUAAAUAUUAGAAAUAAAUAUAAUCUGUAUUAAUAAUAAAUAUAUAGUUGUAUUAAUAUAAUAAUACUACAUGUAAUAGGGCAAAACUCAUCAGUCAUGUUCUUUCUUCUUCUUCUUUUUUUAAUAACUGAUCAAUGUGAAUGCUCAAUCUACAUCAGUGACGACAAAAAGGUAUCAAACAUUCUGCCAUUUGUUUAGCAUAUUUCUGAGUAGUAGCUUUCUUGUGCCACUCCCGCACAUUUCUUAUCAUCGUGACUGAACGCCACCGCCCCCCCCACCCCCAUCACUAAUAAUGAGAGCAAGUUGUCGUUCAAAUCUUUCAGCAAGAAAUUGACACUCUUCUGUCCAUUGCAGCCCCAUAGCAUUAACUUGCUAGUUUGUUUGUUUUUUCCGACAUAAGUUUUUAAAAAAUUAGAAUAUUACUUUAUAUCUAAACAAUCUCUAAACUCUUUAUACUAAAAAAAAUUCUUAGAGGCUGGCUAUAACGAGAAUCAACUUUUUUUUCUUUUUUUUCCAUCUUUAUUUUUUUAAUUUUCCCAUUUAAUAUUAUUUAAUUUUGAAUUUGUUUUUAUAAAUUAUUUUGAUUUAUUUUUAAUAAGAUUAUCAGUCUCAAAUAAACAUCUCAAUAUUUAAUGUGUGCUUGAUUAUACGAGUAUCUAUUUUAAUUAUCAUAUAAUUAAGUAAAAAAAAAGUUCUUAAACUCAAUAGAGCCUAUAACUCGGAUCGUGAAUUUGACUAUUUAAACUGUGAAGCUUGGGUCAAUUCAAUAUGUUGUCAUCUCAAUAUAUAAAAAAAUCAUCUUGGUUUUUUUUUAAGGUCAAACUACACUUAUUACUUGAUGUUUGUGUUGCUUCUAGAUCCGCUAAGUCAAUUAAGUCAUAUCAAGAUAAUUUUUAAAUAUGAUUUAAUUUUGAAUUUAUUUUAGACAAGGAAUCAGGUCAAGAAAUUUUAAAAUUGAUAUCUUGAAUUAAGUUUAAUAAAAAUAUCAAAUAACACUUUUAGGUCAAAAAAGUAAUUUUAAUUAGUUCAAAUCAUUUUUUUAAUUUGGGUCGCAGCAUAGAGCUUCCCUGUAAACUAAUGCAUUCCUAUUCCUAAAUGUCACUUUAGCCAUUGAAUUUAAUGUCUAUUUCUUGAAAUCCUUGUGACCAAAAAACGUAUCAGUCGAGGAGAGUCAAAUAACCAAUUUAACCCAAAAAUUUAAGCUAUUAGGUAAGGUUCCAAGAUAUAAUUUAUAUUAUUCUCUAACACACCCCCUCAAGUAAAAGUUCUUUCGACUUGAAAUUUACACAGACUCACAUUACCUUGUGCUUAAUUUUUAUCAAAUAAAUGAGGAUUGUGAAAUUUGAACUCGUGACUACUUGGUCAUCAAGGCUCUGAUAUUAUGUCAAAGAAUUAAUUCAACUCAAAAGUUUUAGUUGUUAAGUGAGGUUUCAAAAUAUAAUUUAUAUUAUUUUCUAAUAAGAAUAAUAUAACCACCUCUUCAUAUAUCUUUUUCUGUUAGUUCAAGGGAACCUAAAGAUAUCCCUGAAGACCAUAGGUCCAUAACUUUCAUUCAUAUUGUAGAAUCGUGUUCAAUGGUUAUAAAUGGCUGGCCAUGUAUUAAUGUAGGUUAAACUUAUAAAAAUUAAAAUUAUUAUGAGUAGGCGUUUCAAGAAAAUAAUUAAAAUAAAUAUUCUUAAUUAUUUUUAAAUCAAUAAAAAAAUUAAGGAAUUAAACAAAUCAAGGUAGCAAGGAAAUUAGUUAGGAAAACAAGUUUAUUUUUAAAAGAGAUGAUCAAGUAUUUUUUAUAAUUUGUUUUAUUAUAUUUUCUUAUAUAUCUUGUUGUUCAUGUAAUCAAAUUAUGAAUGAAUAUCAUUCUCUUCUAUUCUAAAUUUCCACAUGUAUAGUCUAUGGAAAGAGGAAGAUGAGAGUCUUCAAUGGCUGGAUACCAAAGAGCCUAAAUCAGUGCUGUAUGUGAACUUUGGCAGCGUAAUAGUGAUUGCAUCAGAACAACUAGUUGAGUUUGCAAUGGGACUAGCGAACAGCAACCAUUAUUUUUUGCAGAUGUGUUGUCAAAUCAGCAACUAGAUGAGUUUACAUGUUAUACGUCCAGAUUUGGUCAUUGGCAACUCAGCAAUCUUGCCAGCUGAAUUUGAAGUGGAAACUAAGAAACGUGGAUUUUUUGCAAACUGAUGUCUUCAAGAGGAAGUACCAAGCCAUCCAUGAUCAGUUGGUGGAUUCUCAACAUAUAGUGGUCGGGGUUCAGCUAUGGAGAGCUUAUCUACUGGACUUCCAACGGUCUGCUUGCCAUUCUUUGCAGACCAACAAGUGAACGGUAGAUAUACUUGCAAAGAACAGGGAGUUGGUAUGGAGAUUGAUAACAAUGUCAAGAGGGAUUCGAGUUUUUCCCUCGGUGGGGUUUGUGCUGAACCUGAGAUUUGUUUCAAGGUCAAAUGAAGUCGUUAAGUUUUUCGGCUCCAAUAUAGAUAUGGUAAUAGAAAAUUUUGCAGAUGUGUUGUCAAAUCCAAGCAUUGUGUUUUGAGUGCCAUAUCUUGACACAUCGUAUAAAAUUAUCGUUCUAAGUCUAGAGAGGGGAAAAAAAAAACUAUGAUUUGAUAAAAUUCUAAAUGUGAAUAAUGAAACUUAAACCAAAGAAAAUAUUGAAACCUAAUUAAGAGAGAAAUCCAAAAAAAAUUGAAACAUCAUUUUUUGGAUCUAAUUUGUACAACGUCUGCAUGUGCCAUAAUGGGAUUAAAGCAAAUUCAUGUUCUCAGGGAGAAAGGCUUCAGCAGCCCACUUAAAGGUAUAUACUUUGAAAGAAUUAAUGUGACUUACAUUGCAAGGUUCACUCUAAAAUAUUAUGUUUUUGCAGACAAUAGCUGUUUGGAAACAUCAAUUGAUUCGGUUCCUAGCAUGAAAGACACUCAGCAUAAGGAUAUCCCAUUUGCUCGAAGCACAGAUCCAAAUGAUAUCGAGUUAAACUUUGCCAUGGAAGCUGUUGAGAGUGCUGUUAAGGCUCCAACAAUUAUUCUUCAUACUCAUUAUGAAUUGGAGCCUAGUGUUUUGCGAGAUGUCUCAAUGAUACAUCCUUGUGUUUAUGCUGUUGGCCCGUUCCAGGUACGUACUCCUCAAUCGGAUUCAAGAAGAUGAUUUGAAGUCCAUUGGAUACAAUCUAUGGAAAGAAGAAAGCGAACUUGUUAGAAAUAUUUGAAGGAGAAAAGUAAAAGGAGGAACACGGGAAGCAUGGUAAAAAUGGUAAAAAACAAACCUCAUUCGUAAAAAUAUAUUACUUUUCUAAAAGAGAAAGUCUCGGACUUGGAUUUGUACUAACAAUACACCAAACAUAUAUUUAUAUUAGUUUAGGAUAAUUCAAAAGAUUUAAAAGAUAAAUACAUCUUUAAUAGUUACAUGUAUAUAUCUAGGAGAUAUCUAGUAGAACUAAAAGAUACUUUGAAUGAAAACUUCAAAAAUUAGUUACAACACUCCCUCUUAAUUUUGAAAGUGUCACAAUUCUUGAAAUUUAAAAUGGAAUGCAGAUCUUAUGAUAACUUGCAAUAUCUUUUUUUAUUUUUUUAUCAUCACACUGUAUCCAUAAUUUUUUUUGGAAUUAACUUUCAUCCUCAUCUUAGGAAGAUCUCUCUUGCAUCUUUGUCUUAGCCACUCCUUUUGUCAUGGCUAGCUAAUGACAUUUCAUUGCGAUUUCUUUAAUUUGUUUUUCUUCAAUUAUUGUCUUUGUUUGAAUAUGCUACUCCUAGCCAUUUUUCUCCUCUUGUGGUUGUUGCCACAAUUCUCUAGCCAAACACUUCUUUUCAAGAUUUGGCUCACUAGGUUGUUGACUAACUCUGAUACUUUAUUAAAAAUAUUUGAAGGAGAAAAGUAAAAAUAGAAAACAUUAGAAGCAUGGUGAAAAAUAAAUCUCAUUCAUAUAAAUAUAUUAUUCUCCUAAGAGAGGAAGGCUCAAUGGAUUUGGAUUUUAACUUACAAUACUCCAAACAUAUAUUUAUACUAGUUUAGGAUAAUUCAACAGAUUUAAAAGAUAAAUAUAUUUUUAAUAAUUACAUGCAUAUACCUGGAAGAACUAAAUGAUACUUUGAAUGAAAACUUCAGAAUUUAGUUCCAACAAAUGUCUCCAACAGUUGGAUACCAAAGAACCAAACUCAGUGAUCUAUGUGAGUUCCGGAAUCAUGACUGUGAUGACAGCAGAACAACUAUUCAAGUUUGCAAUGUGACCAAGAUCCCGUUAUUGUGGAUUAUAAGAACAGAUCUUGUAAUUGGCAAUUCGAAGAUUUUGCCACCUGAGUUUGCAGCAGAAAUUCAGAAACGUGGCCUUAUUGCACGCUGGUGUCCACAGGAAGAAGUACUCAACCAUCCAACAGUUGGAGGGUUCUAACUCAUUGCGGUUGGGGUUCAACUAUUGAGAGCUUGUCUGCCGAAGUUCCAAAGGUGUGUUAGCCAUUCUUUGCAGACCAAUAAAUGAAUUGCAGAUAUACUUGCACUGAAUGGGGAGUCGGCAUGGAGAUUGAUUAUAAUGUCAAAAGGGAAAAGGUUGAGAAGCUUGUCUCUAGGAUUUUCCAUUUUCUCGAAGAAGAGAUCCUGAUGAAUUUGGACUAAACUUCUCCAUGGAAGGUGCUGAGAAUGCUAUUAAGGCUAGUGCAAUUAUUAUUCAUACAUUCGAUACGUUAUAGCAAUAUGUUUCGGAUGGCCUUUCUUCUAUAUUUUAUCGUGUUUAUGCUAUCCCUUUCUAGUUACUCUUCAAUCAAAUAAAUAACAUGCUAGCUUUUCUUGUUCCUCCUCUGUUUUCUGUUUCUCCAGAAGCUGGGUGCCUCUUGCAGCCUUUGCUUCGACUCCCUUCAAAGAUUUGGUAGGAUUUCCUUCACUAUCAUAAUAGCGACCAACCAGUUUACCAAAAAACCUGACAUUCAGGAUUUGUGAUUGCGACCACCAAGUCAAUAUCAAGAGUUGUACUUGUUCAGUGAAUAUUUGAUUUCUGUACCAAUUUUAUCACUCUUGUUUUACUGAUAACACCAAUGUUCCGGACAUAAUCUUAGAGAAUUUCGCAAUUCAAAAUAGAUGAUUCGAGUUAUUUAGAACUGAAUGAAAAGAAAAGAUAUUAAAUUCAUAAGAGCUCCAUAGUAUCGGAUUUUCUAUUUGCUCCUUCAUUCUAAGCUCAAAGGACAUAAUAUGGACAAUGUGCAACUCACGUGUAGCUUCUGAAGUAGAAUUCUCGCCAUUCAACAAUACUCUUCACCUACAGAUGCGGCAAUAAUUGAAUCAUAUAGCACAGAACUUUUAGCAAUAUACCAACAUUAGCAUGGAGCAGGUAUGAAAAGUUUAACAAAUUGAUCCAUAAUACAGAAAUGAAGUUGGAUGUUUAUGUUAUUUUCUUUUUGACACUUUUGACAAAUAACCAUUGUGUUAAGAGAGUUUAAAAAGAAAACGACUCUUAAAAUGAUAUGGAAGCUUUAAACAGAAAAUGAAGGAUGAUGCACAGGCAUGGCAUGGCAGUCAUCCUUUAACUGUGCCCAAACCAAUGACUAUGUCCAAUAUGCUCAUUAAUAACUAAAUUUUUCCAAGAUGAACUGUAUGCUUUGUACUACCUUUCUAUAUGCUAUAAAUAACGCAACAACAAGGUGGAGUUGUUUUUUGACAUAGAAAUUAGAAAAUGGUAAAUGUAGUGCUAUGCCGCAUAGACUUGUAUUUUGGAGGUACUUGUGAGCUGUGAUUCAAAAAUUAAUUAGUUGCUUUUUAUUUUUUUAUGUCUGAUCUACCUUGAAAAAAAAGAGACAAAUAUAUAAAAAAAUAUUUUUAUUUAAAAUUAUAAAAAAAAAAUUCAUUUAAAAUUUUAUCUUCUAAUUAUAAUUUUUUAAAAAAAUAAAUCCAAAAAAACAACUAAUAAACUACUACUUGUUAUUCCCUCGUGCCUGUAAGAAUUCUCGUCAUUAUAGCAUAUCUGGCUAUAAAUCACAGGAAAAGACUCCUUGAGACUGAACAGAGAGAAGCAAGCUAGCUACCUAGUAAGAGAGAUAUGGGAUCCAUUUCGAAGCCUCAUGUUGUUGUGAUCCCAUGUCCACUCCAAGGUCAUAUAAAGACUAUGCUUAAACUUGCGAAGCUUCUUCACUACAAAGGUCUUCACAUCACGUUUGUCAGCACAGAAUUCAAUCACAAACGCUUCCUUAGGUCAAGAGGACCUCAUGCUCUUGAUGACUUGCCUGGCUUCCAUUUUAGAACCAUUCCUGAUGGUCUCCCUCCUUCAGAUAUUGAUGCCACCCAAGACAUUCCUUCUCUUUGUGAUGCCAUGAACAAGAAUUUCUUAGCACCCUUUAAAGAUCUUCUUUUGGAACUCAGAAAUACCGUAUCGGAGAACAACCCUCCGGUUACCUGCAUUGUUUCUGAUCCCUUCGCUCCAAUCUCCAUCAAAGCUGGGGAAGAAGUUGGUCUUCCAGUUGUGAUGUAUGCCACUAUGAAUGCAUGUGGCUAUAUGGGAUUUAAACAGCUCCAUGCUCUCAGAGAGAGAGGCUUCACCCCAAUCAAAGGUAAUUCACAUGCUUGUUUAUUAUUUAAGUUAUCAUCAAUUACAAGUGAACUUCCAAGCAAAGUGGCUUUAUUACACCAUUAUACAACUUCUUUAGUAUUUUGCAGCUAAUUUAUUCUUUUCUAAAUUUUCAAACAUCCAGAUUCUCCCUUGCAAGUUGAUGGAGAAAUGAUUAUAAAACAUUAUCACGACAACAAUUUCUUUUAUUUAUAAUAUAUUAUAUUAUAUUAUGUUAUAUAUAUUGUACGUUCGACGGCAUAAUUCAAAUAACAUGCCAUAGAACCAUGUAACUUUUAUUUAAUAUCCUUUUCCAAAUCACUUCUCUAAAAAUCUGGCAAUGUGACACGAGUAGGAGGAGCUGCUGGUGUGGGUGGCUAACGAGAGGCUGGGGUGAAGGAGAAAGAAGAAACAGAAAUUGCAGAGGAGAGAGAGAGGAGGUCAAGGCUGCCUGAGUUUGUCACUUUAGACCGGCGCCGAGGCUUGUAUUGUGUCCUUCAGCCUCAAUAGUUUACAUGGGAUUGUAUAGAAAUGUCAUGUGAUAAUUUUCGUGCAAGUUUGUUCAAAUUUGGUGAAUAAAUGAGGCAUUAAAUGCACCGGUAAAUUAACCUUCCUAAACUGUCAUUUCAGAGAAAACUGAAAAAGAAAAUGAUGAAUAGUAACCAAAACGGUGUCAUUUCGGUCAAGUUCAUUUCGGUACUCCAAUUUCUGAUUUAUCUCAUAUAUACCCCUAAUCGGCUUCAAACUUUCCAUUUUAUGCAAUUGAGUCCCUGGAAAAAUUUCAAGUUUAACCCAGGCUUGGCGCUCUUUUUUCACUUUGAUCCUUCUUUUUACAUAUGCAAUUUAACCACUAAUUAACCAUUAAACUUUUAAUUUCUUCAAGUUAACCUCCGGUUUUAAUAAUUAAGCCCUCAUACUUUGGUGUCUUUUACAGAUUAGUCCUUAACUGCUAAAUCUUUCAAUUUAAUCUCUAAUUGACCCAAAAACUUUAUUUUUUUUGCAAUAUUACCCCUGAUUUCUUCAAAAUGUUAAUGGAAGGAGAAGAGGGUAAGAAAAUGAGGGGAAAAGGCAUGCAGUGGAAGAAGUUAGCUGAAGAGACUACUGGCUGAAAAGGUUGAUCCUCCACUAAUUUAGAAAAACUCAUAAAUGAAAUAUUCUAAUUAAUCGAGUUAAUUUGUUACUUAUUUUGAUUUUAGAAAAAGAAAACAAGUUUCAUGAUUGGAUUUUAUUGAUUAUUUGUUGAAGAAGUGGUGUUGAUGUGAAAGUGAUUGCGCAUGCAUCAAUGGGAUCCACAGAGAACGUCUUGAAUCCAAAUAAGGUAAUUAUGAAAAGCUUGAUUGUCUGUUGACAACUCAUAUGUGUAUAAUUGUUAAAUCUGACUUGGGCGGACAAAUUAAUUCAAAAAACAAAUAAUGUAAAUGAAUUUGAAUUUGUAAUCAAAUCAUAUAAGCUAUUGAUUUAUUUAAAACUUAAUCACCACGAAAAAUAAAAUAAUUGAACCUGUACAAGAUCCGGUCACCCGUGACACAAGCACUUGGCCAAGUUUUCGAUAAGAUGGUGACAUAGAGAACUAAACAAAACAUGUAACAUCGAUCGUCCAUAUGCAUGGUUGUCGGUAAAGUCCCUGUUAAAGAUCUAGGUCUACAAAGACAUAUCCAGUCCAAUGAGCUCGGGCGUAGAAAUUUGUCCAUUGAACAGUCCCUGUUAAAGAUCAACACCGCCUCCUAUUCUUUGAGUUCUUCAGAAGCCUCCAACUAAAUAUUCAGGCAUGCUUGUUGACUGAGAUUUUUCAACACCUUGAAUUUUGCAGAAGGCUCCAAUUAAACAAUGAAGAACAAUAUAUUUGUUUUUGGGUUUUAAAAGAGUUUUUUUAAAAAAAUGAAAUUUUUUUAAAUUUUUAUUUGUUUAAAAUUAUUUUUUAUUGAUUUUAAAUUUUAAAAAUAAAAAAAAUAUAUUAUUUUAAUUUAUCUUCGCAUAUAAAAUACUUUAAAAUAUAUCCAUUAUCACAGUAUAAAACGAUAUCUACCGGUCAACUUAAGGAAAAAGAAUAAGAAUACUUUUCAUUUGCAACAAGUGGAGGACAUAAAACAAAGUACAGUGGAGUGUGUGAGAGAGAAGGAAGAGUGUGCGAGUAAUAUUACUAAAAAGAGUGUCUACGUCAGGUGGUGUCCUAAUGUCCAUAUCCUUUACAAAAGUCUUGUUAUCAAGAGAGUGUUGGUUUAAGUUUUUUUUUUUUAUGGUCCAUAUAAAAUAUAUAUAUUUUUAAUUUUUAAAAGUGUGAUUUGUAUACUUUUUGAAUUUUACAGAAGGCUCCAAUUAAACAAUGAAGAAUAAUAUAUUUGUUUUUGGGUUUUAAAAGAGUUUUAAAAAAAAUUGAAAAUUUUUAAUGUGUUUAAUGAUGUAAAAUUAGUUCUUUUUUAAUGCUAUGGAAUAAGUAAACUGUAGAGUCAUCAACUGAGAGUAAAUGUGUAAUAUUUUACUUUCUAUAUAUAUCUUAGAGCUCCAAAAUCAACAUGUUUCCUACUCACUGUUCGGAUAGUCAAAACCCUUGGCUUUGGCUCCUUACAUUAAAUGUGACAAUGCUUUGGGGAUGGCUCCACUCUUCCUCAUGACAUGUUGUCAAUUUAAGCAGAUUUUUAAUCACGGAACUAGCCAUGUGUCUAUCAUAACAGUAAGGGCCGGUGGUUCAAGGAGGGAGGGGGAGAGAGAGAGAGAGGGUGGUGUUUUGGUGCAGGUUUCCACAUUUAUGUGGAUUUAAUCUCGUUAUUCCAAAACAAUUUAUCCAACUGUUAGGAAGAAGAAAAGGAUGAAUCUAUAUAAUUGAACUUACAAGGUUUCAAUUAUUUGUAUAAUAACUUUCAAUGAAAAAUAUCUGGCCAUUCAUUAAUACGACUAGAAAAAGGGCCAAUGAUAGAUGCUGGAGAUAGUGCAAUGUUACGUUACAGGCUGCCAGCUAAUUUUACUGAUAAGAUUUUAUAUAUUAGUGAAAUCCUUGUGAGCUGUGAUUCAGAAAUUAAUUAGUUGCUUAAUUUCUAUUGGUUACGUGGUGGGUCUGUCUUAGGGAUAAAAACAGGUAUAAAAAAAACAAAAAAAAAAACAUGACCUAUUAAAAAUAAUAAAAAUAUCUAUAUUUAAAAUCUUCUUGUUGUUAUUCCCUCGUGCCUGUAAAAUUUCUCGUUGUUAUCACUACAAUGACCUGGCAAAACAUGACAUUAAUAAAAUAAAAAUAAAAAAGUUGAAGGAAGACACAGAUUUGGAAAUAGAAAAUCAAGCAUUUCUGGCUAUAAAUGACAGGAAAAGAUUCAUUGAGACUGAACAGAGAGAAGCAAGCAAGCUAGCUAGUAAGAGAGAUAUGGGAUCCAUUUUGAAGCCUCAUGUUGUUGUGAUCCCAUGUCCACUCCAAGGUCAUAUAAAGACUAUGCUUAAACUUGCGAAGCUUCUUCACUACAAAGGUCUUCACAUCACGUUUGUCAGCACAGAAUUCAAUCACAAACGUUUCCUUAGGUCAAGAGGACCUCAUGCCCUUGAUGACUUGCCUGGCUUCCAUUUUAGAACCAUUCCCGAUGGUCUCCCUCCUUCAGAUAUUGAUGCCACCCAAGAAAUUCCUUCUCUUUGUCAUGCCAUGAACAAGAAUUUCUUAGCACCCUUUAAAGAUCUUCUUUUACAACUCAAAAAUACAGUAUCGGAGAACAACCCUCCGGUUACCUGCAUUGUUUCUGAUCCUUUUGCUCCAUUCUCCAUCAAAGCUGGGGAAGAAGUUGGUCUUCCAGUUGUGAUGUAUGCCACUACGAAUGCAUGUGGCUAUAUGGGAUGUAAACAGCUCUAUGCUCUCAGAGAGAAAGGCUUCACCCCC
rnacentral:lncRNA from 1 species